CCAGGAUGCCCUUAAUACAUAUGACAGGAGAAAAAAAAGCAUAUAAAUAGUAAAGAAAAUGAUGGUGUGGGUCAUUUUCUGCUACUAGAAACCUCUCAUUUCCUGACAUAGGAGCUGACAACCUACGUACAUUAAAGGAAGUUCAAAGGACUUUCGGCUAAUUGCGGACUGGUCAUCGGUCACCGUGUAUUGUCCACUGGCCGGAAGACUGGACCAAGGCUGGCCUUACCUACAGACCUGAGAAAUCCCGACGACCAUUCCCCCCUCACCGCUGAUAGUGGUACAAUUUCCAGGGAUAAUACCGACCGCCGUAGGGAUCCAAUAAAUGGAAUGAAUUAAACGCAGCCAAAGCGGCACAACAUCAAAUUUACUCGACGGUUGAGCACGCAUCUAGAACAGGA